AACCUUCAAAUGACCCAACCAGUCUGACAUCACCAACUCCCAGGAUUCUCACACAGCUUAAAAACUCCCAGCAGCCCUGCAAAAGCAGACAGGCAGAGAAGCAGGCAACUACUAGCUGUAGUCUUUGGAUUUUUUUUAUUUACCUUUAAAUAAGUAAGAUUAAAUAAAAGCAAAGGUAGAGAUGACAUGGCACAAAGGCUGCUUCUGGGUGAUGUGUGCACAGCACCCCUUUUUCGUGUGCAUCAGCUUUUUAUAGCUGCUUCCUUUGGACAGCUGCAGAGGAGAGGAAAUCAGGAGAGGAAAUAAUGACAAACGUUGCAUGAUAUUACCCCAGACUGAGCUUGUCCAAAGAAGUCAGAAACAUCAGCCCUGUUCAGCAGAAGCCAUUUCCUCUUGAUUUCACAGAGGUUUAAGUUGGAGCUUUUGAUCUGCAGAGGUUCUGGCUCAACUCUUCUGCACAGCCUUUGGUGUCACCCCCAGAAAAAGAAUUCCUAAUCAGAGAUGUGGCUGAACAUCCACAAGACAUCUUCAAGUGACUAGGAUAUAAAACUCCCAAGUUCUUUUAAAAUUGCUACAGGUUAAUUUAGAACCAGAUUCAGCCUUACCCCUUACAUAGAGGGCAAAAGGAGCCUUUCCCUCUUGCUCAAACAGUACAAGAAGCCAAACAGAAUUUCAGCACUUGCAUUCAUGGGCAUGAAAAUGCAGGGCCUUCCGUACAAUGCUAGAGCGCAGAGCAUCCAACGGGAACUGGAGAAGGCUAAAGAGGCAGGACCAUGGCCAAAAUCCCCUAAGCCCAGAUGGCUGGUUGCACAGGCAGACAGUAAACUUCAUUGGAAAGAAUGAGGCGAGGAGAUCUAAGUGAAGUGUAAAACAAACUGAGAAUUCAAUGACACGUUGACAAAUACCACUCCACUUUUUUCCCCCCCUAUCAGAACCUAACAGCAGAAGAAGAGAUUUCUAAAGUGGUGUUUUUACAGGCCAGGCUUAGCCUCUCUCUCAUCUUAUCAGCAGCCUUCAAAGGCCUCCAGAUGGAUCUCCUCCAGAAAAAAAUCCCCACUUAUUUUAUAUAAAUACAUUGGCUCUAUCAUGGAGGCUUUGUUAUAGCUUGAGAGGCUUUGGAAAAACACACCUGACUCUCAAAACUGUUCUCUACAUACUCCAACCCACAAGCUUAAGAGUAGACUUGAUGAAAAAUAUUUAAACUGAGACACUGAUUGGGACACAGGAAACAGGAAUAGUGGUUGCUUGAACUGCAACAUCUGAGAGGAGAGGGGAAAAGAACUUAUGGUUCAGAUUUUCAAACCCUCGGACCAUGUUUAUGCACAAGCAAAUUUGCAAGCACCAAAACCUGCACAUGUAGGUGACAGUGUUAGGAAAAUGUGCACACAGCUGUGAAAGAUGGCAUAAGGAUCCACAUAGAAUCAGGCCCUAUUUUAUUCUUAUUCCAUGUCAACAGAAGUUGUUUCUGAGGUCUCAGAUUUAAAAAAAAUAGUUUUCUAGCUUUUAGUGUAAGAAAUAUGUAUCACUGCUGGAAAAAACCCAACACUCAUAUUUGUUAUUUGCCACUCACCAUUAUCAAAUGUAACACUUUUUAAAGAGGAAAUAUAAACUAGGCUUUUUUUCUUUUAUUUGAAAUAAAAUUAUUUAAGUCUCUGCAGUAGAGUUCAAGUAUUAUUCCAGUUCAGAAAAACUCUAACUGACAACACAUGGCCAAAGGCAUAAAAGGUAGUGUACUGUCAGAACAACUCUUACUGGUGAAGUCACUGAUGCUCACAGCAGGAUACUGGCGUGCAGCAACCUCUGACAGCUGACUAACCCUUUCCUAGUUGUCUUAUUGGCCGCAAGACCCACAAUGCCCUUUUCUUCUCCUAAUACAGAACAAUUAUGAAAAUGUGCAGUACUUGUCUAAAACAACAAAAUUGUGUCCUUAGAGAGUGAUAGAACCAUCUGUUUUACAACAGGUUAAUCAGCCCUUUUAGAGCAUAAAAAAAUGGAACCACCUUCAGUGACUCUGGUCAAAUGCUAGCCAUCUGUUAAAUAUAAAAUGUAUUUUUUCAUAAAAUAUUGUCUCCAUAUAUUUGUCAUGGUCAUAACCAUGUCAUGAACUAUAUUUUAAUGCACCUUUGGCUACUUCAUCUGUACUCUUCCCACUCCACCCACUCGCCAACAGGAUUACUGCCAGUAUCUGGAAUAGACUUCCCAAGGAGGUGGUGCAGUCCCCAACCUUGAAAGCCUUCAAGAGGAGACUGGACAGACACCUUGCUGGGAUCAUUUGAUCUCAGCAGUACUCCUGCCCAGAGCUGGGGGGUUGAAUUAAUCUUUCAAGGUCCUUUCCAGCCCUUAAUAUCUAUGAUUCUAAAUCCCUGAGCUGACUGAAGUCAAUAGCACUUAAAAACUAUCUAUAAACAUAUCUUCCCUUUCCUCAAAAGAUGGGAUUUCCUUCUAAAAUCACACAGGUUCAAUGCUGCCAGCUCUCAUGACAUUGUUAAUCCCCCCCACCAACUGCCAACAUUAAGUGAUGAGGCAAAAAAAUCUCAGAUUCCAUAAAAAGACUUUCUAGCCCUCAAGCUUACAGAGAAAAGUUUGAAACCAUAUGCCCUUGCAAAUGAGAAACCAUAAAGCACACAUAAUGAACCAAGCAUUCAUUAUUUUUAAAACCUCAUGAUUUUUUAGUCAUUCACAUUAGUUUUGUAUACUUGGGGAGAGCAAUACUACAGGCCGGAGAGGCAGAACAGGACUCAUUCAGUCCUAACCCAACAGCAGAUUACGGUUACAUGUCUUGUGUUGACAUUAAGGUUUAAAAAAAGCUAUCAUUACAAAGGGGAGUUACCAAGCCUUCCAAUGGAGAAAAAACAGUACUCAGAAAUCAAACUGUCAUCAUAUAUAUAGAAAUGCUAUUGCUGAUGAUUUUUAGAUGUAGCUUCUUUGUGCUGAUAGUUUCUCAUUAUGAAAGACUCUGAUAGCAUGGUGAUGACCCUUUCUCCUUCUUUAUGCCAGCAGAAACUGGGGAUGAAUCUGGCCAUAUACAAUGUGGAAUGUAUUGUUUCCAUACAGAAGGGAGACACUAUGUGGCACAUGGACCAGAUUCUCAAUUGGCAUAAAUAUUAGCAUAAUUUCACUGAUGUCAGGAUUUAUGUCAGCUUGCACCUUCCUGUCCCUAUUUUAUUUUGUGUUAUUCCUUGUUUUUCAGUCAAAAGCAAACUCAAUUUUUAUUCUUCAAACAAAAUGAAUUACUUGGAUACAUGUUUGUAUAAACUAUCUUUUCUACACUUUAAAAAGUGCCUUUGUUUUCCUCUACAGACUUCUCACAGUUCACCUGAGGAUCCAUAAAGCACUGGAAAAACAAGGCAUUUUCUAAUUAUAUUUAUAAUAAACUAAUGUUUAGUUCCAUGCCUUAAAACUAGAAGGCUCUCCCUGGACAGAUUAACUGCUUUCUUAAUCUCAGAAACAAAUUAGAAGUAUCUGCUUAGCUGAUAGAAGUUCAGUGUAUUAAAAAAGACAGCAAUAUUUCAGGAAGGUUUUCCUCUGCAUAUUCAUUACCAAGAACAAAUUUCAGUUUUUACUAUGGGUACAGAAUUUGGUUCAAACCAUUCUUAGUUGGAUAAAGUCAUCACUGAAUUCACUAGGAAGUUGGCCUGUAAAAUGGUAAGGACUAUAGGACUGAGUAUUAUUUAUAGCAUGUUAAAAAUAUCAUUUCACAUAAAUGUCAGCAUGUACCUAUCAAAUCUUUACAUUCUUCAUUAAACUAAUGCUUCCUAACAUAAUGAAGAAAAGGCUACAAAAUGUAAGUGUAUUGUAAUGUUCUUGUAUUAAAGUAGAGAUAUCAAAAUAAAUUUGCAACCAUAUCAUUAUAUCAAUCUCCAGUAUUACUACAUUAGUACUAUAACCAUAAUUAACUAGCUUCAGGUCAAAUUACUAAUAAAUCUUUAGAAAUUAAAUGUAUAAUUUGUCAAGACCAUAUGCCUUCACAAAUUGAUUAUUCAGAAUUUAGAAGCUUUUUAAUUAGGAAGAAAUGUAUGCAAUACUGUGUGUAAUAAUUACGAAUCAGCUGUUCUGUAAUAUUUUUGUACAUCAGCAAAAAUUAAAAUAUUGGAAAACAUUA